rnacentral:tRNA from 1 species
UUCCUAUUCGCUUAAUGGUAGAGCAAGAUACUUCUAAUAUUUUAGUUAAGGUUCGAAUCCUUAAUAGGAAU